GACGUAGGGCGCGAGCGUUGUCCGGAUUUAUUGGGCGUAAAGAGCUCGUAGGCGGCUUGUCGCGUCGACUGUGAAAACCCGCGGCUCAACCGUGUGGUCUGCAGUCGAUACGGGCAGGCUAGAGUUCGGUAGGGGAGACUGGAAUUCCUGGUGUAGCGGUGGAAAUGACGCAGAUAUCAGGAGGAACACCGGUGGCGAAGGCGGGUCUCUGGGGCCGAUACUGACGCUGAGGAGCGAAAGCGUGGGGAGCGAACAGG
rnacentral:rRNA from 1 species